GAGACGGACGUUGCCAGAAUAUCUCCCUGUUAAGUCCGUGUUUCUUUUUUUCUCUUUUUUUCUGUGUUUGCGUGUGUGUGUGCCCACGUGUAUGAACUGACCAUUAGGAUAACCACAAAGCAUAGUUCCCCCGGUGCUAUGAAGGCGUGGACUCCCAUUUGAAUCGUGAAAAGUGAAAAAUAAUGUGGCCUUUGACUCGCGACUGGAAGAGUGACUGUUGCUGUGCCCCGUGGACCUGCUGCUGCUGCUGCUGCUGCUGCUGUGGCAGUGUGCGGUGAGUGUGGUGCUUGGUGGAGGCGCAGAGCGAGGGAGGGGCGCGGCGCUGCUCUCCCGGGUAGAAAGCUGCUGAAGGAGAUGCCAUGCGCAGCCAGCCACCCCACCUCUCUCUCUCUCUCUCUCUCUCUCUCUCUCUCUCUCUCUCUCUCUCUCUCUCUCUCUCUCUCUCUCUCUCUCUCUCUCUCUCUCCUAUACGCAUAUUCCUCUCCCAGACCUUCAUCUCCUCCCCCUCCUCCCCUCCUCCAUUGCUCCAUCCACACUCCCUCCACUAGCCUCCACCGACCACCAGGAGGGAACAUGAGUCGUCCAGGUCGUCUUAACAAGCGACUAGGUGUUGACUUGGUGUUGGAAGUCGCCCGUGCAGAAGCGUACUAUCUCCAUCCAGCCAAUGAGAGACCGCGGAGUGCUGUGACGUCAGAGCGCUGAGCCAAUGAGAGCGCCGUAUCUUCUCCUGCCUCAGCCCCGCUCUGCCUCAAUCUAGUUGCACUCAUGCCCCAAAAUGCCCAUCCAUUCUACCGGUCUAUCAUCGACGCCCAAGCAGGUGAUGUCAAUAGCACUCAAGAUGAUGGUGAACACGACAACUUGGAUGAACUGUUGGAGUACGAAUCGUAAAGGCAUUGAGGGG